AGCAGCCGCGGUAAUUCCGGCUCCAAUAGCGUAUAUUAAAGUUGUUGCAGUUAAAAAGCUCGUAGUUGAAUUUCGGGAUUGACGUGAUGGUCGUGCCUUACGGGGUAUGAACUGUUGCAGUCAAUUUCUCACCUUCUGGAGAAAUAUGAUGUCCUUAAUUGGGUGUCAUAUGGAACCAGAACUUUUACCUUGAAAAAAUUAGAGUGUUUAAAGCAGGCUUAUUGCUCGAAUACAUUAGCAUGGAAUAAUAAAAUAGGACGGCAUGGUUCUAUUUUGUUGGUUUCUAGGAUCACCGUAAUGAUUAAUAGGGAUAGUUGGGGGCAUUAGUAUUCAAUUGUCAGAGGUGAAAUUCUUGGAUUUAUUGAAGACUAACUACUGCGAAAGCAUUUGCCAAGGAUGUUUUCAUUAAUCAAGAACGAAAGUUAGGGGAUCGAAGACGAUCAGAUACCGUCGUAGUCUUAACCAUAAACUAUGCCGACUAGGAAUCAGACGAUGUUAAUUUUUUAAUGACUCAUUCGGC
rnacentral:misc_RNA from 1 species